rnacentral:rRNA from 1 species
CGCGGCCUAUCAGCUUGUUGGUGGGGUGAUGGCCUACCAAGGCGACGACGGGUAGCCGGCCUGAGAGGGCGACCGGCCACACUGGGACUGAGACACGGCCCAGACUCCUACGGGAGGCAGCAGUGGGGAAUAUUGCACAAUGGGCGGAAGCCUGAUGCAGCGACGCCGCGUGAGGGAUGACGGCCUUCGGGUUGUAAACCUCUUUCGACAGGGACGAAGCACAAGUGACGGUACCUGUAGAAGAAGCGCCGGCCAACUACGUGCCAGCAGCCGCGGUAAGACGUAGGGCGCGAGCGUUGUCCGGAUUUAUUGGGCGUAAAGAGCUCGUAGGCGGCUCGUCGCGUCGGCUGUGAAAACCCGAGGCUCAACCUCGGGCCUGCAGUCGAUACGGGCAGACUAGAGUGCUGUAGGGGAGACUGGAAUUCCUGGUGUAGCGGUGAAAUGCGCGGAUAUCAGGAGGAACACCGGUGGCGAAGGCGGGUCUCUGGGCAGUAACUGACGCUGAGGAGCGAAAGCGUGGGGAACAAACAGGAUUAGAUACCCUGGUAGUCCACGCCGUAAACGUUGGGCGCUAGGUGUGGGCUGUCUUCCACGCAGUCCGUGCCGCAGCUAACGCAUUAAGCGCCCCGCC